UACUAUCCUCGACUUAUUCUCGCAUCUUCUCAAAUAAUCAAAAAAUAAAAAAUAAAUCAAAAAAUUAAAAAGUUAAGGAUAGUAAACUUGAGCCCUUGAUUAACCGAAUUCGAUGGCCAAGAUUAAAGCAAAGAGACAAACAUUGCCAAUCGUCCACUUGGCAAUGCGUGUUUCUUUGUUUUAAUCCUGACGAUUGAAUUUAAUUAAUCAAUGGCUCUUGUUUAUUAUCCUCAACUUAUUCUCUCGUCCAAUCAA
rnacentral:lncRNA from 1 species